rnacentral:rRNA from 1 species
GGCCAGCAUCAGUUUUGGUUUGAGAAUAAAUCAUAGGAAUGUAGCUUAGUAGAGGAAGUAUUAUAGCCUAUGGGAAUACAGCCAACUGGGAAUGAGGACUGCGACGUAAGUCAAGGAUGCUGGCAUAAU